UGCCAGCAGCCGCGGUAAUACGGGGGGGGCAAGCGUUGUUCGGAAUUACUGGGCGUAAAGGGCUCGUAGGCGGCCAACUAAGUCGGAUGUGAAAUCCCCAGGCUUAACCUGGGAACUGCAUCCGAUACUGGAUGGCUUGAAUCCGGGAGAGGGAUGCAGAAUUCCAGGUGUAGCGGUGAAAUGCGUAGAUAUCUGGAGGAAUACCGGUGGCGAAGGCGGCAUCCUGGACCGGCAUUGACGCUGAUGAGCGAAAGCUAGGGGAGCAAACGGGAUUAGAUACCCCGGUAGUCCUAGCCCUAAACGAUGAAUGCUUGGUGUGACGGGUAUCGAUCCCUGUCGUGCCGAAGCUAACGCAUUAAGCAUUCCGCCUGGGGAGUACGGUCGCAAGGCUGAAACUCAAAGGAAUUGAUCGGGGGCCCGCACAAG
rnacentral:rRNA from 1 species